rnacentral:misc_RNA from 1 species
GAUGAAGAACGCAGCGAAAUGCGAUAAGUAAUGCGAAUUGCAGAAUCCGUGAGUCAUCGAAUCUUUGAACGCACAUUGCGCCCUUUGGUAUUCCGAAGGGCAUGCCUGUUCGAGCGUCAUUAUCACCACUCAAGCCCGGCUUGCUGUUGGUGGCAGCGCAGCCGGUCAACCGGCUACGCUCCACCCAAAGAUAAUGACGGCGUCAGCGAGGACUCCUGUACAUUGAGCUUUCGGGCACGUACAUGGCUAGAAGUCCAGGCGCCGGUCGACGUCCUCCGGGACACUUUUUACCAAGGUUGACCUCGGAUCAGGUAGGGAUACCCGCUGAACUUAAGCAUAUCAAUAAGCGGAGGA